rnacentral:lncRNA from 1 species
GGCGCGAGCCUCGCCCACCCGGGUAGACCCUGAAGGUGCGCGCGGGUGGGCGGGAAGGGGCGGGGCGCGCGCCCCGAGGAGGGCAACCCGGACCCAGGCCCGGCGCACGGCACGCCCCGAGGAGCAGCGAGACUUUGGGAGGGGUCCCUUGCUACUCCCCUCCUACUUCGCUCAAAGGAAAGAUUCUUACCCUCUCCAGACCCAAAUUCCACUCCCCCUUGACAAUCACUUUCACUCUGUGAGAGAAAGGGCGACCACCAUGGGUGUGUCUGCAGCGGCCCCAUCCUCUCUGAUUCCUCGCCCAGCAGGGCAGCUGAACUGGGCACAGACCGCCACCCUUGAGUCCCCCCAGCCAGCCACCUAGGAGGUAAGAAGUCCCUCAGAGUCACCAGCACUCACAGGGAAACUGCCCUGUCUUCGUCUCCAGGGCCAUUCCCAUACAAUUUCUCUACCUCUCACACUCCCAUUCUGCAGAUACAGCAACUGAGGCUCUGAAGCUCAGGCCAGAGCAGACCUCGGGCCUGGUGAACCCAGUCCUGAAGUGGGUUUAGAUCCACUUAUGUUGCUUUGUGGGGAAUGGAGAGAAAGACAUCCCAGCUUAACUGUCUUUUCCUUCAUUGGCUGCCUAUUCUAAAGCCAACCCCCAGUUUUUCUGUCACGGCCCACUGGGUUUCCUGCCCUGUCUGUAGUUUGUGAGGUGUUGUCUGUUUUCUCACCACCUUCACUCUUUGUCCCUAGAACACAGCUUCUGGCUCAGAGGCCACUCAAAGAAAUGUUUGUUGAGUUGAAUGAAUGAAUGCAGUUUUGAGAGCACCUAUCAUGUUAGGGCUGGGAAAGGCAUGUUGAAAAUAGACUGUGGGUAGGGCUGUGAGUGGACCCAAGAGAGACAGUGGAGUUUAUUGGUGUUAAUCACAGACUCUGGAGCCAGCCUCUUUGGGUCAAAUCCUGCCUCCUCCACUUCUAGCUGUGUGAUCUUGAGCCAGUGACUUCAACUCUCUGUGCCUUGGUUUCUUCAUCUUCUAAUGUGAUCAUAAUAUGAGGAUCAACUGAGUUGAUAUGUAUAAAGUACUUGGAAGAGGAUCUGACACAUCACGAGCUGCUAGAAUUGUUGAAGUGAUCAUCAUCCUGAUUCAGGAAACAGAACAUUCAGGUUUUCAAAAUCAUCACUUUUAUCUACCUGGCCCCGUUGAAGGGGUUUUUAGCCCUUGAAGUUGGGGAAGCCACGACCAGCCUUGUCAGGGAACUAGGGAACUUAAUAGUGUACAGUUAGGUCUUCAAUUUUAGCUCUUUCUUCUUUUUUGAUGUAUGAAUUUAUGGCUAUGAAUUUCCCUCUCAGUACAGCUUUUGCUGCAUCCCAUAAGUUUUG